rnacentral:lncRNA from 1 species
GCGUGCUGAUGGACAGCGAGCUGAGGAGGGCCAGAGGACGGGGCAGGAGGACAGGUCAGAGGUCAUCACUGCCCAUACACAGAAGUACUAUAGUCAUACCAUAAUACUACUAUAUUGAUGCACCAUGGUAUUUCCAAAUGUACUGCAAGGAAUAGCAUCCUACUACUACCAUGCACCAUAAGACCAUAACUAUGACAUCAUCUAUAGGAAGGAAUAAAUACAAAAUAAGGAUUCUAGUGCAGACUGACUAAUGCAGAUCUGCAUGUAGUAUGACUAUUAUGAAUUGAAUAAAGAGUUGAGCAGAUGUGUAAUGUGUUUCAGUGUGGUUCAAGACGCCGAGAGACGCCGCCGUGCCUGCGAUCAGAGAUCAAGACCAGAAUCCAGAUCAGACCAGAUCAGAUCAGUCUGUCUGUUCGCUGGAGGAGGGAAUCAGAUCUCCAGUGAUUAAACAAGAGCGACAGGAACAGGAAUCCGGCAGCGGUGCACGAGGGAAUCGUCCCUUCGAUCACGAGCAGCAGAACAUCCAGC